AUGCAGGUAGCGUCCAUGCCAGGGCUCUGCCGGGCAGGAGACACAGCUACCAGGAAGAGCUCGCUCCCCUGGAGGCUUCCACUGGGGGCUGUGAAUGCCAGGAUGGUGCAAGCCCUCUCUCCUGGGAAGAGAGCCUGUGUCCAAGAUGGAGUCCAAGAGACAGAGAGCACCCUCAGAUCCCAUGAGAUCCCUCAGUGUCUGCGGAUCUUUUCCAGCCCACAAAUACAGACGUUCCGGUUUCCCAUUCCUGAAACAUUGAUAUGGUCUGAUAGAUUUAGAGGCACCGGUGCUUGGCGGGUAGUGAGGAAGACUUUGGUGAAGUCAGCAGCACGUGGUCCACGCUUGCGUCUCCGAGGGGAAAGGCAGGCGCAGCAUCAGACACGGUGGCAGCAGGAGGAGGCUGAAGCCACAGACCGUGUUCAGGAAGUGACGCUCCUGCUUCACCAAGUGUCCACCACAGCCCCGGCAGCCACGAGGGGCAGCUCAGCAAGGCCACCAAGGGCUCAGGGUGCCCCACACCCUGUGCCUCUGCUUUACCCAGAGCCUGAUCCUCUGAGUGGCCAUGGACACAUCCACCUCAGCUGGACCAGUGCUUGUCCCUGGACCAUGAGGACCACCAGGGAGGUCCAAGGCAGGAAUACGGGUAACGCCGGCCAGCAGUGCCUGGAGAACGACCCAGCAAUCGCUCCCCCGUCAGUGACGUCACGGGCUCCACUGGCAGCCAGGUGCUGCAUGUCCAGGGAGGGCCCACUCGGCUCUUCAGCGUCAUUCAGGACUCGGGGUGCAGAGAAGCAGGAGGUGGAACAGUUCCCUGGUCAUGCACCUGCCCAGAUGUGA
rnacentral:lncRNA from 1 species